UGUUGGUGUCACGGUGAUGCCGGUUCUGGCCCCAGUUCCAGUUCCAGUUCCAGUGUCAGUGUCAUGGUGGUGUCGGUUCUGGUUCUGGUGCCAGUUCCAGUUCCGGUUCUGGUUCCAGUUCCAGCUCUGGUUCCGGUUCCGGUUCCGGUUGCGGUUGUGCUCAGGCGUGCAGGCAGCGGUUGAAGGCGUUGUAGGCCGACUCGAGGUCGAAGAGCAGCUGCCGCACCUGGGCAUCGUCCAGCUCGUCCGACGCCGACAUGGCGCUCAGCGUCUGCAGCCUCCGCCCCGCAAACAACGCCGCCGCUCAGCACCGCGACCCACGGCCGCGACCCACGGCGACCCACAGCCGCGACCCACAACCGGGACCCGCAACCGGGACCCGCAACCGGGACCCGCAACCGGGACCCGCAACCGGGACCCGCAACCGGGACCCGCAACCGGGACCCGCAGCUCGUCCGACGCCGACACGGCGCUCAGCGUCUGCAGCUUCCAGCCCCGCAAACCCCACAAAGGCGCCCCUGACCCCAUAGGGACCCCAUAAAGUCCCCAUAAAGACCCCAUCGACCCCAUAAGGACCCCAUAAAGACUCCCCCGACCUCAGAAGGAUCCCAUACAGACUCCCCCAAUCGCAUAAGGACCCCAUAAAGACCCCAUAAAGACCUCCCAACCCCAGAAGGAAGGACCCCAUAAAGACCCCCCUAGGGACCCCCCUGCCCCCAUAGGGACCCCAUAAAGACCCCCUCGACCCCAUAAGGACCCCAUAAGGACCCCCCUGACCCCAGAAGGACCCCAUAAAGACUCCCCCAAUCCCAUAAGGACCCCAUAAGGCCCCCCCCCGAGCGCUGACCAGUGCAGGACGCGGUGGCGGCCCUCGAAGUCGGCGGGCAGGGCGCUCAUGCGGUUCAUGGUCUCCAGCAGCUCCCGCAGGUCCGGCUGGAUCUGGGCCGGCGGGGGUCAAAGGUCAGGGGUCAAAGGUCAGGGGUCACAGGGUCAAGGGUCACCAGGGCAGGGGUCACGGGGUCUAUGGGGGCGAGGGUCAGGGGGUGACACGGAAGCGAUGGGGUCAGGGCAGAUAUGGGGUAAGGGGUCACGGGGUCUAUGGGGUCAGGGGGUCAUGGGGUUCUGGGGUCGCAGGGGUUAUGGGGUCACUAUGGGGUUAUGGGCGUUUAGGGGUCACGGUAAUGGGGUCUAUGGGGAAGGCAGUUAUGGGGUCACACAGAAGCUGUGGGGUCAGGGCAGAUAUGGGGUAAGGGGUCAUGGGGCCACAGGGGUUAUGGGGUCUAUGGGGUCAGGCGUUAUGGGGUCACGGGAUUAAAGUGGUUAUGGAGAUGCGGGGUUAUGGGGUCACAAUGGUUAUGGGGUCACACAGAGGCUGUAGGAUCAGGGUAGAUACGGGGUCACAGAUCACACAGAUUAUGGGGUCACAGGGUUGCAGGGGUUAUGGGGUCUAUGGGGAACGGGGUUAUGGGAUCAGGGGUUAUGGGGUCACGGGGUCAAGGGUUAUGGGGUCAAGGGGUUGCAGGGGUUAUGGGGUCUAUGGG
rnacentral:lncRNA from 1 species